AAAACUUCGACGAGAGAGAGAGAGAGAUGCAUAGGAGAGAGAGAGGGUUUUAGAGAGAGAAAGAUGGUUAGGGUUCGCGGUGGUGUUCUUCCGGUGCUGCUGGUGCUGGUAGCUUGCUUUGCAUUUUAGCAGCUUUUUGCUUCCGACGAUACGGUAUUUUACGAUUCGUUUGAUGGCACAUUUAAAGGCCGAUGGAUCGUUCUAGCAAAGAAGAGUACAAAGGCCCGUUCUUUCUUUCUAAUUGCACAAAUUCAUAAUUUCUGGAUUUCAAUCCUGCAACAUUUGAUUUCCCACCCGCAAUGGUUGUCACACCUGCAAACAAUUUGCAUUAGAAUUUCAGAAAUUGUUACACCUGUUUGGAAAAGCAGAAUUGAUUCAAUGAAGAAUGAUGUUGGACGUUUGAUACUUUAAUGUCAUUGCAGAUGUUAAUGUGGAUGUUAUUUCGGUUUUAAUGUUUAUGUUUAUUUUGGAUUUGGAAUAGCUCCUGUAAUCUAUCUGUGCAGAAGCUUGAAGCUUGAAGCAUCUCUUGUAAUUUUUGAAAACGUUUGUGCUGCUGCAUGCAGUUUUAUAAAAAUGUAUUUUUGAAAAAAAGAAAAAUAGAGUUGGACCCGUGGACCUGCCCCGGACCAGCCUGUUUGAAACGGGCUGGGUUAGGUCCGGUUCCAAAACUCAAAAUCUC